rnacentral:rRNA from 1 species
AUUGAACGCUGGCGGAAUGCCUUACACAUGCAAGUCGAACGGCAGCACGGACUUCGGUCUGGCGGCGAGUGGCGAACGGGUGAGUAAUGUAUCGGGACGUGCCCAGUCGUGGGGGAUCACGUAGUGAAAAUUACGCUAAUACCGCAUACGAUCUAUGCACGCAAGCGGGUGAUCGCCAGACCGCGCGCGAUUGGAGCGGCCUAUAUCAGAUUAGGUAGUUGGUGGGGUAAAGGCCCACCAAGCCAACGAUCUGUAGCUGGUCUGAGAGGCCGACCAGCCACACUGGAACUGAGACACGGUCCAGACUCCUACGGGAGGCAGCAGUGGGGAAUUUUGGACAAUGGGCGAAAGCCUGAUCCAGCCAUUCCGCGUGAAGGAUGAAGGCCCUCGGGUUGUAAACUGCUGUUGUACAGAACGAAAAGGUUUCUACUAAUACUAGGAGCUCAUGACGGUACUGUAAGAAUAAGCACCGGCUAACUACGUGCCAGCCGCCGCGGUAA